rnacentral:lncRNA from 1 species
GUUUUAGACUGCAAGGGAAAAUUGGUGAAUGGAGUUAGCAUAGAGGGCAGCUGCCUGGCUAUAGUUUGGGAUUUCUUCUGAGCUGAAGCAGAAGGAAAGAUUUAGCAACUGUUUGUCGUGGCAGAAAAUCAUCUCUGAUCGUUUGUGGGGCAGAGGAUUGGAGUCAAGAAGAUAUAGACAAUUUCAAACGAGAAAUCCUGACCUGUGUUGUGUGGAGCUGUGUUUGCUUGAUGAACCUGUUAUAACUCCAUCCACCUUCACUCCAAGGAAGAAUGAACAUCUUCCUGUUUGGACUUGGAGUUGUGUGAAAUCACUGAUAAGAUGCUGAAGGGUCUCCAUUU